rnacentral:tRNA from 1 species
ACCAAGAUGGCAGAAUAGUGCCAUAGGUUUAAACCCUAUUCAUGAGUAUCUUACUCUCUUGUUA